CUUGUGUCUCAAACAGCCGUACUCAUACCACAAGGGGUUCUGGCACCAAAUGUAGGGGGUACGGCAAGUGCUAGCCACCAUAGUACCACCUAGAGUGCCCAAAUGCCAUGUCAGAAGGGAAAGGAUCCACUCCCGCUCUCCCAAACGUAGGGAAGCUUGGUGGAUUUAAAGAAAAAAAUUAUUUGUGAGAGUGUGUGUCUGUCAGUCAGUUGCCACUGUGUGCAAAGGUGUGUGUGUGUGUCAAGUCAGUGCGUAUGUCCUCUGUGUGCAAGUGUGUAUUUCCUCAGUUUGUAUAUUUGCGUCCCCUACAUGUGUGUUAGUGUCUGUGUAAAUGUGUGUUUCAUUGUUCUCCGUGUGUAACUAUUAUGUGUUAAUUGUAUUUUCAUUUUGUGACUUCUAUACUGCAGGUUAAUAGUUCAUCCAUACCUCCUUACAUACAUAAUAUUCACAUUAGGUUAUAAUUAUUUUUAAAAUAUUAUUUACUUCCUUUAAUCAGGCUUGCUCUUCAAUAACUUUGUCUCAAUGUUUCAUUU